GACGAACGCUGGCGGCGUGCUUAACACAUGCAAGUCGAACGGAAAGGCCCUGCUUGCAGGGUACUCGAGUGGCGAACGGGUGAGUAACACGUGUGUGAUCUGCCCUGCACUUCGGGAUAAGCCUGGGAAACUGGGUCUAAUACCGGAUAGGAGCCAUUUUUAGUGUGAUGGUUGGAAAGUUUUUUCGGUGUAGGAUGAGCUCGCGGCCUAUCAGCUUGUUGGUGGGGUAAUGGCCUACCAAGGCGGCGACGGGUAGCCGGCCUGGGAGGGUGGACGGGCACAUUGGGACUGAGAUACGGCCCAGACUCCUACGGGAGGCAGCAGUGGGGAAUAUUGAACAAUGGGCGCAAGCCUGAUGCAGCGACGCCGCGGGGGGGAUGACGGCCUUCGGGUUGUAAACUCAUUUCGCUAGGGACGAAGCUUUUUGUGACGGUACCUAGAUAAGAAGCACCGGCUAACUACGUG
rnacentral:rRNA from 1 species